rnacentral:rRNA from 1 species
AGAAGCUUCGGUGGAAGAUUACUAAUGAGAGUGGGAACGGGUGAGUAACGCGUGAGCAACCUGCCUAUGACAGUGGGAUAGCCUCGGGAAACCGGGAUUAAUACCGCAUAAAAUCGUAGAAACACAUGUUUCAACGGUCAAAGAUUUAUCGGUCAUAGAUGGGCUCGCGUCUGAUUAGCUAGUUGGUGAGAUAACAGCCCACCAAGGCGUACGAUCAGUAGCCGGUCUGAGAGGAUGAACGGCCACAUUGAAACUGAGACACAGGUCCAAACUCCUACGGGAGGCAGCAGUGGGGAAUAUUGCACAAUGGGGGAAACCCUGAUGCAGCGACGCCGCGUGAACGAAGAAGGUAUUCGUAUCGUAAAGUCUCUGUCCUAUGGGACAGAUAAUGACAGUACCAUAGGAAGAAAGCUCCGGCUAAAUACGUGCCAGCAGCCGCGGUAAUACGUAUGGAGCGAGCGUUGUCCGGAAUUAUUGGGCGUAAAGGGUACGCAGGCGGUUUAAUAAGUCGAAUGUUAAAGAUCGGGGCUCAACCCCGUAAAGCAUUGGAAACUGAUAAACUUGUAGUAGUGGUAGAGGAAUAUUGGAAUUCCUAGUGUAGUGGUGAAAUACGUAGAUAUUAGGAGGAAUACCAGUAGCGAAGGCGACUUUCUGGACACAAACUGACGCUGUAGGUACGUAAAGCUGGGGAGCAAAACAGGAUUAGAUACCCUGGUAGUCCACACCUGAAACGUAUGUUAGCUUAGUGUUUGGGGUCAAACC